rnacentral:misc_RNA from 1 species
AUCUAGCCCCGAUAGAGCCGGUAUCCUCGCAGUCCCGAUGGCUAUCGGGACGAAGAGAUAAAGGCGAAAGCGGGACAGGUG